rnacentral:lncRNA from 1 species
GACCUCGUGCGAUUGCGAGUCAAUUCAUAGGGUGUUUUGAGUUGAGUCACUUGAUAUGACUCUCCCAAUAUCUAUCUCUUUAUGUAUUAUUAUCAAAAUAAAAUUUUAUUGAGAAAAGAANAAAAAAACCUAAGAAAACCCUUGAGAGCAAGAUGAGCAAACUAAGCGCCGAGCCUCAUUAAAACCGGUCUCCACAAAGGAAAACUCAUGAAGGAGAAAGCCUUUAGGAGGAAAAAGAGUAUCUAUGACGUAGAAACAAACAAAAAUGAGGCUAAACCAACUCGAACUCCGGACUAACCAUCACCCAAG